rnacentral:rRNA from 1 species
AACGCGAAGAACCUUACCAGCUCUUGACAUGGGGGAGUUUGGGGAAUCAGAGAUGGUUCCCUUCAGUUCGGCUGGCUCCCACACAGGUGCUGCAUGGCUGUCGUCAGCUCGUGUCGUGAGAUGUUGGGUUAAGUCCCGCAACGAGCGCAACCCUCAUUGUCAGUUGCCAUCAUUUAGUUGGGCACUCUGACGAAACUGCCGGUGACAAGCCGGAGGAAGGCGGGGAUGACGUCAAGUCCUCAUGGCCCUUAUGGGCUGGGCUACACACGUGCUACAAUGGCGGUGACAGUGGGGUGCAUACCGCGAGGUGGAGCAAAUCCCCAAAAGCCGUCUCAGUUCAGAUUGCACUCUGCAACUCGAGUGCAUGAAGGUGGAAUCGCUAGUAAUCGUGGAUCAGCAUGCCACGGUGAAUACGUUCCCGGGCCUUGUACACACCGCGAGC